rnacentral:rRNA from 1 species
AAACUUUUAACAAUGGAUCUCUUGGCUCUUGCAUCGAUGAAGAACGCAGUGAAAUGCGAAAUUUAAUGCGAUUUGCAUGAAUCUGUGAGUCAUCAAGUCUUUGAACGCACCUUGCACUCUGCUUCUGGCAGAGUAUGCCUGUUUGAGAAUCAUA